GUCAUGGCUUUUAAAGGCCUCCAUUCCUAUUUCCUACCUCUCUGAGUUAUUUCAUUGAACUGCACUCAACGUUCUCCAUUGAAGCGUUCUCCGUUGAAUCUAAUUCUUGUAUCCCCCAUUGAAGCAGCUUCUAAGCUUACAGAAAGAGAAAGCAGCGAUGUCACCAGCUAUGGCGGUGUCCUGCUCCUCACCCCUCCUCCACCCAUAUUUAAAUCAGCAAGGUAUUUCACAUCGAUCAAGUGGGUGCCAGCCUUUCUUUCGACCAGAUUCUGUAAACGGAAAAGGCAGCUUUAUAGCUUAUAAAGCAGGUCUUGUAGUUCAGAAUACAAAGUCAAGCUUCUCAUGCUCUGUAGGCAUGGCAGAUGGACAUUCCUCUGAUAAUCAGGGGAAAUUAAACUUGGACCGGAUGAUGGACAAGACCAGAGAAGUUUGGAAUGGCCUUCCCAAACCAAUCAAGAACUUCCCUUGGAACAGAGUGCUAGAUAGUUUUAUUCAACUUAUUCUGGAUGUUGCAAUUGCUGUUGUCAAAUACUUAAGUGCUCCUAUGCUGGCUGUUUCCUCCCUCAGUGAGAUGUCCUACUGUGCACAUGAAAGGAAACUGUUUCUUGUUCCUAUUCCAUUGGUUCUUGGGUUUGCUGUUGCUGGGAUCUUGAAAGAGACAGCACAAGAACUAUCUCCUCUUACCAAGAAUGCUGACGUUCCUUGGCAUAUGAUUGCAAUUGCUAUUCUUCUUGUUCUUCUUAAGUUGCCUGGGCCAUACUACCCAUACUGGGGCCGAAUGUUUAUCCCUCAUUUUGCAAAUGGAGGACUUUUAAGGGUUUUUCUAAUGAUGUAUUUCUGGUACCAAAAGCCCAAGAAGAGCCAAUUGUUGCAAGAUGCAGAGAGUUCAGAUCAGAAUUGAGUAUAUUUUAUUAUAGGAGGAGGGGCCCUGGAGAUGCAUUAGGAGGUGGAGGGAGGAGCCGACUUUGAAACUAAUGCGGGGGAUGGAGGUGUUUCUUAUUUAUAAGGGCAUAUAAUGGGAUCAGCCUAGAUUACCUCGAUGUCAGAACUGUAAUAAUCCAGCUUAAGAGCGGAUGAUAGUGACAGAACAAACUUCUCUACAACUGACUGGACUUUGAACUAGCUGCAACGUAAUCAACGGACUGUUAUGAGAUCAUGAUCAUGCUGUUUUAGAGUACAGCGUGAUGGAUAGUAAAUCCUUCCUCCACAUUUCAUCCAGGUUACCUUUGUUAGAUAUUUUUGUGUUUACUUAGAUUAAUGGUGGCAUUUUUGUUCACGAAACACUAGAAUUUGAGAUGCAAGGCAUCCAGGCAUGCAAGCGUUUCUAGAAUUGAGCCUUUUUUUUGGGGGGGUUUUAUUCAAUUUCAACCUCACUUAAAUUCUUCUCUGUACAUCAUCCAUGGUUUUUCUUAUGCAAUAUCUUUAAGGAAGAGCUACCCUCUUCCUUUUUUUGCUA